rnacentral:misc_RNA from 1 species
CGAAAGCGAGAGGCUUAAUUUGUAAGCUAUUAUUAAACGACACAGUUGGUUGGGUUUAUCGGCCGUCAGCCCUGUUGUAUACGAUCUUCACGCGAGUAAUGAUGGUAGUGAAUUCGUGAAUCGCAAGAAUUGUACAGCUCAAGGUGCAGUAACAACGACAUGGAUUACUUCUUAGUUACAAUCGUUACCUUCCUGCAGAUUUUAAACUUCCUCUCAGCGGAUAAAGUCGUUUUACAGGAGAGACCGACAUGGCAGAAGAAAUGGAACGAUUGGAGAACAUCGGCGGGUAUUGGGUGGCGGUGGGCAAAGGUUGGUAUUGGGACCCCACAGUACACGAUUUGUUAUGUCAGUGGCCAACAACCAAAUGCCUGGCUCUUUAGUAAUCCUGUCACAGUAUCAAGCACAGUAACAAAGGUCGAUAUUACCGUUUUAUUCAAUACAAGGAACUGUACAGUAAUUGGUGGAGAUAAUUUCUGUAAAGAAUAUUUCGACUUUUAUAUGCAUCAGUCUACGACUCUAACAGUACCUGACCCUUCACGGAACAAUGCCACUUACGAAAAAAUUGCUAAAGUGACUGCGCCGAUCCUUGGCAUUGAUAUGAGUGCUACGGUAACAAAAAAUUUUGGAGUCAAAGUAAAAGGGAAGUACAUUAUUCUGGCUUUUCAUAACCAAGGUUCCUGUAGCUCUAUUCAUUUUGUCUCUGUCAGUUAUUACUUCUGCCCAGAACUUACUAUCAUUAGUGACUUGAUGUCCUUACCGCGAUUUACGGCUCCAGCAAUUAAUUCUGAGACAGUUGAAGGUAGCUGUGUUACAAAUGCCGUCUACUAUCAAGGUAGCCUAACUGUGGACUGCCAAAGCGAUGGCGUUUGGAACAUCAGUUCAGUUAAGGGUAGAUGUGUAUGCAGAGAGGACAUGGAAAAUAGGGGAGGAGAAUGCAUAGUUUGCCCAGAAGGAAAAUACAACGACCAGAAUGGCUUUAAUUGCACAGUCAUACCAUCAGGCCCGCAAAAUAUUCAAGCUAUCUUCGUUAACAGAAGCGCGUUGGCGUUACAAUGGCAGCCUCCUACAGUGACCGGUGAUCAAACCCAGGUGAUUUAUGACCUCGACUGUCAUAGGCCGUGCGAAGGUGAAAGUGACAACAAGUGUGUCUAUAAAGCUUGCGGGAAUAACGUCAUCUUCACACCGAGAAAGGACAGCUUGAAUAUCACUCACGUUACUAUUGAAAAUUUAUUUCCAUUUAUAAACUACACCAUAAAAAUCUACGCGAGGAACCGGGUGAGCGAUUUGGCAAAAAGAAAAUAUGGAAUUGAGGCAAACCUCACUGAAAUAACUGUAAGGACCAAUAGAUCAGUUCCAGGUAAACCGGAAGUCUUUGUUGAACAACCAGAAACGGUUGUUUUUGUAUCUUGGACACUGACGGAAAAGAACGGGAUCAUUGAGGAGUACUUUGUGACCUAUGUAAGAGAGGAUGAUUUGUCAGAAACCCAGACUAUCGCCACCCGGAAAAUGGAAGCGCACUUUGAGUUAAUGGCCGGAAAAACUUAUGAAUUACAGGUAUUUGCUAUAAACGACUUUGGUAGGGGUCCUGCUGGUGUGAAGACGUUCACACUGAGAGAGGCAGAACCCAAUGUGACCAUGUAUCUCAAAAUCAUCUAUGGAUUGGUUGUUUUAUUGGCACUUUGCAUUUUGUCUUUCGCCUGUUACAUCACCUACAACAGAUGGAACCGUCGAAGAAAUGCAAACCGUGGGAACAUUCCUAAAACAACAAAAUUCAGUGUUAUGGUUUAUGAGAACGUCUCAAUGAGUUCUGUCGCUGAAAGGAAAAAAGUGGACGAAUUUAGACUUGACCGUGAUCAAAUAACAACAGUGAAGGUGCUCGGAAGUGGCAACUUUGGUCAGGUAUCCAAAGCCGUCUACAAGCCUUUAAAAGCUGAAGUGGCUGUUAAGUCAUUGAAAGACAAUGCCAAAAAGAAGGACUUGCAAGACAUGCUGACUGAAUUAGAUCUAAUGAAAACAAUGAGGCCUCAUCCUCAUGUUGUUAAACUCAUCGGCUGUUGCAUUGAGAAAGAUCCACCCCUUAUAGUGUUGGAGUAUUUACCAUAUGGGGAUUUAUUGGGAUACCUGCGCAAAAGCAGAGGAAUCGAGGAUACUUAUAACACAGGAGAAAAAAGACCAAGCUCGACACUCACGGAGAAGGACCUUUUGUCCUUUGCAUGGAUGAUCGCUGAUGGUAUGAGCUAUUUGUCAACAAUGAAGAUUGUUCAUCGUGAUUUAGCGGCUCGCAAUGUUUUAGUUGGGGACAACAAAGUGUGUAAGAUUUCAGACCUUGGUUUAGCGCGUGGUUUGCAAGGAGAUAUAUACACCAGAAAAAGUCAGGUGAAUCGCCAUAUCCCGGGGUGAAAUCUAGAGAAAUAGCUGGCUUACUGCAGACAGGAUACCGCAUGCCUAAGCCACCUCACAUCUCACAAGAACUGUACUCCAUUAUGACCAAUUGCUGGGAAGAGCAACCAAAAAGCAGACCAACAUUUCCGUGGCUCUGCUCGGCAAUCGAACGAUUAUUG